UGGGGAAUAUUGCACAAUGGGCGGAAGCCUGAUGCAGCGACGCCGCGUGGGGGAUGAAGGCCUUCGGGUUGUAAACUCCUUUCGACAGGGACGAAGCUUUUGUGACGGUACCUGUAUAAGAAGCACCGGCUAACUACGUGCCAGCAGCCGCGGUAAUACGUAGGGUGCGAGCGUUGUCCGGAAUUACUGGGCGUAAAGAGCUCGUAGGUGGUUUGUCGCGUCGUCUGUGAAAUUCCGGGGCUUAACUCCGGGCGUGAAGGCGAUACGGGCUGACUUGAGUGCUGUAGGGGAGACUGGAAUUCCUGGUGUAGCGGUGAAAUGCGCAGAUAUCAGGAGGAACACCGAUGGCGAAGGCAGGUCUCUGGGCAGUAACUGACGCUGAGGAGCGAAAGCAUGGGUAGCGAACAGG
rnacentral:rRNA from 1 species